rnacentral:rRNA from 1 species
CGAGCGCAACCCCUACGUUAGUUGCUAACGCGUGAAGGCGAGCACUCUAGACGAACUGCCGUUGACAAAACGGAGGAAGGUGGGGAUGACGUCAAAUCAUCAUGCCCCUUAUGUUCUGGGCUACACACGUGCUACAAUGGCCGGUACAGACGGACGCAAAGCCGCGAGGCGGAGCAAAUCCGAAAAAGCCGGUCUCAGUUCGGAUUGCAGGCUGCAAUUCGCCUGCAUGAAGUCGGAAUCGCUAGUAAUCGCAGGUCAGCAUACUGCGGUCGAAUACGUUCCCGGGCCUU